GCCCCUGUCGCCUAAUGGAAUAAUGCGUAUGUCUUCUAAACCGGGGAUUGUGGGCUCGAGUCCCACUAGGGGUA